GCAGAGACUACUUCUCGUACCUUUUGCAUCAUGAUUCAGCAAGUAAACUCAAGCAAAGAGCACUCUAGUUUGCACCCCCGAAACUUGACGAGCUACUCCGAGACAGCCAAUUGUGGGCCAACCCGUCUCUGUGGCAAAAGAGUGGGAGGAUCUCCGAGUAGAGGCAAAAAACCUACCGAGCCAAGUUAUAGCUGGUUGCCCAAUAAAUGAAUACAAGUUCAGCCCUGCCUAGCCCGACUCACACCAGUUUUACAAGAGAAGACAAGGAGCUCGUCCGCAGGAGUUAAUCAGAGGAGGUACAGCUCCCCUGAUACAGGAUACAACCUUUUUAGGCGACAAAAGAAUAUUACCAAACAAGGCCUUGGGUCUCAGUGGGCCUGAAAGCAGCCAUCUGAUCUGAAAGCGUUAAAGCUCCGGCCAAGAAAAAGCCUUUUAUUUUAUCUCAAUAUCUGCUCCCCUAAACCUUAUUGGGCCUCUCCAUGCACCCAUGGAAGAGAUUAUGCUGGAACGAGUAACAAGAAGAAUGAACUUCUCCACGCACAAGUGUAAGUCAAAUUGGACCAACCAUCGACAAUCAACGAACCCAACAAAAGAGGGCCCUACACACCCGCUACCUCUAACCAAGAAAAUCGUGUUUCCCCGCAUCGUUACCCCGACACAGGAGUGCUAGAACAAGGAAAGACUUAAAGAAAAAAAAGGAACUCGGCAAACCCAGACCUCGCCUGUUUACCAAAAACAUCGCCUCUUGCACCCCAUAGUAUAAGAGGUCCCACCU
rnacentral:rRNA from 1 species